ensembl:snRNA U6 U6 spliceosomal RNA
GUGCUUGCUUUGGCAGCACAUAUAUAAAAGUUGGAAUGGUACAGAGAAGGUUAACAUGCCCCUGUGCAAACAUAUGUGCAAAUUCGUGAAUUGUUCCAUAUUAAC